AGCGAACGCUGGCGGCAGGCCUAACACAUGCAAGUCGAACGAACCUUUCGGGGUUAGUGGCGGACGGGUGAGUAACACGUGGGAACGUGCCUUUAGGUUCGGAAUAACUCAGGGAAACUUGUGCUAAUACCGAAUGUGCCCUUCGGGGGAAAGAUUUAUCGCCUAUAGAGCGGCCCGCGUCUGAUUAGCUAGUUGGUUGAGGUAAUGGCUCACCAAGGCGACGAUCAGUAGCUGGUCUGAGAGGAUGAUCAGCCACAUUGGGACUGAGACACGGCCCAAACUCCUACGGGAGGCAGCAGUGGGGAAUCUUGCGCAAUGGGCGAAAGCCUGACGCAGCCAUGCCGCGUGAAUGAUGAAGGUCUUAGGAUUGUAAAAUUCUUUCACCGGUGACGAUAAUGACGGUACCCGGAGAAGAAGCCCCGGCUAACUUCGUG
rnacentral:rRNA from 1 species